UGGGGAAUAUUGGACAAUGGGCGAAAGCCUGAUCCAGCCAUGCCGCGUGUGUGAAGAAGGUCUUCGGAUUGUAAAGCACUUUAAGUUGGGAGGCGUUACCGACAGAAUAAGCACCGGCUAACUCUGUGCCAGCAGCCGCGGUAAUACAGAGGGUGCAAGCGUUAAUCGGAAUUACUGGGCGUAAGCGCGCGUAGGUGGUUCGUUAAGUUGGAUGUGAAUCCCCGGGCGUCAACCUGGGAACUGCAUUCAAAACUGACGAGCUAGAGUAUGGUAGAGGGUGGUGGAAUUUCCUGUGUAGCGGUGAAAUGCGUAGAUAUAGGAAGGAACACCAGUGGCGAAGGCGACCACCUGGACUGAUACUGACACUGAGGUGCGAAAGCGUGGGGAGCAAACAGGAUUAGAUA
rnacentral:rRNA from 1 species